rnacentral:rRNA from 1 species
ACUCAAAGGAAUUGACGGGGCCCCGCACAAGCGGUGGAGCAUGUGGUUUAAUUCGAUGCAACGCGAAGAACCUUACCAAGGCUUGACAUCCUACUAACGAGGCAGAGAUGCGUUAGGUGCCCUUCGGGGAAAGUAGAGACAGGUGGUGCAUGGUUGUCGUCAGCUCGUGUCGUGAGAUGUUGGGUUAAGUCCCGCAACGAGCGCAACCCUUGCCUUCAGUAGCCAGCGCGUAGAGGCGGGUACUCUGGAGGGACUGCCGUGGAUAACACGGAGGAAGGUGGGGACGAUGUCAAAUCAUCAUGCCCUUUAUGUCUUGGGCUACACACGUGCUACAAUGGGCGUAACAGAGCGAAGCGAAGCUGUGAAGUGGAGCAAAGCGCAAAAAAGCGCCCUCAGUUCGGAUUGCAGGCUGCAACCCGCCUGCAUGAAGUCGGAAUCGCUAGUAAUCGCGAAUCAGCAUGUCGCGGUGAAUACGUUCCCGGGGCUUGUACACACCGCCCGU